UACGAAGGGGGCUAGCGUUGCUCGGAAUCACUGGGCGUAAAGCGCACGUAGGCGGACUCUUAAGUCGGGCGUGAAAUCCCACGGCUCAACCGUGGAAGUGCACUCGAAACUGCGCAGCUAGAGUCCUGGAGAGGAAGGUGGAAUGCUUGGUGUAGAGGUGAAAUUCGUAGAUAUCAAGCGGAACACCGGUGGCGAAGGCGACCUUCUGGACAGUGACUGACGCUGAGACGCGAAAGCGUGGGGAGCAAACAGG
rnacentral:rRNA from 1 species